ACGAACGCUGGCGGCACGCUUAACACAUGCAAGUCGAACGAGAGAAGAGGAGCUUGCUUUUCUGAUCUAGUGGCGGACGGGUGAGUAACACGUGAGCAAUCUGCCUUUCAGAGGGGGAUACCGAUUGGAAACGAUCGUUAAUACCGCAUAACAUAAUUGAACCGCAUGAUUUGAUUAUCAAAGAUUUAUCGCUGAAAGAUGAGCUCGCGUCUGAUUAGCUAGUUGGUAAGGUAACGGCUUACCAAGGCGACGAUCAGUAGCCGGACUGAGAGGUUGAUCGGCCACAUUGGGACUGAGACACAGCCCAGACUCCUACGGGAGGCAGCAGUGGGGAAUAUUGCACAAUGGAGGAAACUCUGAUGCAGCGAUGCCGCGUGAGGGAAGAAGGUUUUAGGAUUGUAAACCUCUGUCUUCAGGGACGAAAAAAGACGGUACCUGAGGAGGAAGCUCCGGCUAACUACGUGCCAGCAGCCGCGGUAAUACGUAGGGAGCGAGCGUUGUCCGGAAUUACUGGGUGUAAAGGGAGCGUAGGCGGGAUCGCAAGUCAGAUGUGAAAACUAUGGGCUUAACCCAUAAACUGCAUUUGAAACUGUGGUUCUUGAGUGAAGUAGAGGUAAGCGGAAUUCCUAGUGUAGCGGUGAAAUGCGUAGAUAUUAGGAGGAACAUCAGUGGCGAAGGCGGCUUACUGGGCUUUAACUGACGCUGAGGCUCGAAAGCGUGGGGAGCAAACAGGAUGAGAUACCCUGGUAGUCCACGCCGUAAACGAUGAUUACUAGGUGUGGGGGGACUGACCCCUUCCGUGCCGCAGCAAACGCAAUAAGUAAUCCACCUGGGGAGUACGACCGCAAGGUUGAAACUCAAAGGAAUUGACGGGGGCCCGCACAAGCAGUGGAGUAUGUGGAUUAAUUCGAAGCAACGCGAAGAACCUUACCAGGUCUUGACAUCGUAUGCAUAGCUCAGAGAUGAGUGAAAUCUCUUCGGAGACAUAUAGACAGGUGGUGCAUGGUUGUCGUCAGCUCGUGUCGUGAGAUGUUGGGUUAAGUCCCGCAACGAGCGCAACCCUUACUGUUAGUUGCUACGCAAGAGCACUCUAGCAGGACUGCCGUUGACAAAACGGAGGAAGGUGGGGAUGACGUCAAAUCAUCAUGCCCCUUAUGACCUGGGCCUCACACGUACUACAAUGGCUGUCAACAGAGGGAAGCAAAGCCGCGAGGUGGAGCAAACCCCUAAAAGCAGUCUUAGUUCGGAUUGUAGGCUGCAACCCGCCUACAUGAAGUCGGAAUUGCUAGUAAUCGCAGAUCAGCAUGCUGCGGUGAAUACGUUCCCGGGCCUUGUACACACCGCCCGUCACGCCAUGGGAGUCGGUAACACCCGAAGCCUGUAGUCUAACCGCAAGGAGGACGCAGUCGAAGGUGGGAUUGAUGACUGGGGUG
rnacentral:rRNA from 1 species